rnacentral:rRNA from 1 species
GAUGAACGCUGGCGGUGUGCCUAAUACAUGCAAGUCGAGCGAACAGACGAGGAGCUUACUCCUCUGACGUUAGCGGCGGACGGGUGAGUAACACGUGGAUAACCUACCUAUAAGACUGGGAUAACUUCGGGAAACCGGAGCUAAUACCGGAUAACAUGUUGAACCGCAUGGUUCAACAGUGAAAGACGGUCUUGCUGUCACUUAUAGAUGGAUCCGCGUCGCAUUAGCUAGUUGGUAAGGUAACGGCUUACCAAGGCAACGAUGCGUAGCCGACCUGAGAGGGUGAUCGGCCACACUGGAACUGAGACACGGUCCAGACUCCUACGGGAGGCAGCAGUAGGGAAUCUUCCGCAAUGGGCGAAAGCCUGACGGAGCAACGCCGCGUGAGUGAAGAAGGUCUUCGGAUCGUAAAACGCUGUUAUUAGGGAAGAACAAAUGUGUAAGUAACUAUGCACGUCUUGACGGUACCUAAUCAGAAAGCCACGGCUAACUACGUG